rnacentral:rRNA from 1 species
GAUGAACGCUAGCGGCAGGCCUAACACAUGCAAGUCGAGGGGUAGCAGGAUUAAGCUUGCUUAAUUGCUGACGACCGGCGCACGGGUGCGUAACGCGUAUGCAACCUACCUUAUACUGGGGUAUAGCCCGGAGAAAUUCGGAUUAAUCCCCCAUAGUACUAAUGAAUCGCAUGGUUUAUUAGUUAAAGCAUUGCGGUAUAAGAUGGGCAUGCGUCCUAUUAGCUAGAUGGUGAGGUAACGGCUCACCAUGGCUACGAUAGGUAGGGGGCCUGAGAGGGUGGUCCCCCACACGGGUACUGAGACACGGACCAGAAGCCUACGGGAGGCAGCAGUGAGGAAUAUUGGUCAAUGGGCGCAAGCCUGAACCAGCCAUGCCGCGUGCAGGAAGAAUGCCCUAUGGGUUGUAAACUGCUUUUAUUUGGGAAUAAACCUCUUUACGUGUAGAGAGCUGAAGGUACCAAAUGAAUAAGCACCGGCUAACUCCGUGCCAGCCGCCGCAGUAA